GGGGCCUGUUUGACCGGGCCACAGCCCUAUACAGGGGAGGAAACGAGAGUUCCUCCGGUAUGCUGCCGGUUCCCCUUGAGUGCGGGUUGGAACCUUGAACGCCACACUCGGCGGAAAUCCGAUGGUCGGAUUCCACGCCCUUCAGGGCGUGGAGGAGGUCAACACGUAUCUUAUU
rnacentral:misc_RNA from 1 species